rnacentral:rRNA from 1 species
GAUGAACGCUGGCGGCGUGCCUAAUACAUGCAAGUCGAGCGAACGGACGAGAAGCUUGCUUCUCUGAUGUUAGCGGCGGACGGGUGAGUAACACGUGGAUAACCUACCUAUAAGACUGGGAUAACUUCGGGAAACCGGAGCUAAUACCGGAUAAUAUUUUGAACCGCAUGGUUCAAAAGUGAAAGACGGUCUUGCUGUCACUUAUAGAUGGAUCCGCGCUGCAUUAGCUAGUUGGUAAGGUAACGGCUUACCAAGGCAACGAUGCAUAGCCGACCUGAGAGGGUGAUCGGCCACACUGGAACUGAGACACGGUCCAGACUCCUACGGGAGGCAGCAGUAGGGAAUCUUCCGCAAUGGGCGAAAGCCUGACGGAGCAACGCCGCGUGAGUGAUGAAGGUCUUCGGAUCGUAAAACUCUGUUAUUAGGGAAGAACAUAUGUGUAAGUAACUGUGCACAUCUUGACUGUACCUAAUCAGAAAGCCACGACUAACUACGUG